GGCAGAGGGAGCCCGACCCCCGUGAGCAGGGGAGGCCAAACUCCGGUCUCGCGGCUCAUGAGGAAAGUCCCCCCACCGGCCGAACAGGUGACCGGGUGUAAGCCCGGAGUCGGAGACGGCUGGCUCUGGAACAGAAACGAGACCCCCUACCCCGACCUAUGAGGUGUGCGAACCGACUCGCGAGAGAAGGUAGUUAAUCCACCGAUGGUAAGCGGGUCACCGCGCGACGGGUGGGAAUGGUUGGAACGGCGAAUCCUCACCGGUGCAAGUCCGUGCGACAGGUAGUUUGGCCGUGGCACGGACGCUUAGCUGAAUGUCGGGCCGAACAGAAGGGGGCUUACUCCCCUCAGCC
rnacentral:RNase_P_RNA from 2 species